CUAUACAUGCAGUCGAGCGGACAGAAGGGAGCUUGCUCCCGGAUGUUAGCGGCGGACGGGUGAGUAACACGUGGGUAACCUGCCUGUAAGACUGGGAUAACUCCGGGAAACCGGAGCUAAUACCGGAUAGUUCCUUGAACCGCAUGGUUCAAGGAUGAAAGACGGUUUCGGCUGUCACUUACAGAUGGACCCGCGGCGCAUUAGCUAGUUGGUGAGGUAACGGCUCACCAAGGCGACGAUGCGUAGCCGACCUGAGAGGGUGAUCGGCCACACUGGGACUGAGACACGGCCCAGACUCCUACGGGAGGCAGCAGUAGGGAAUCUUCCGCAAUGGACGAAAGUCUGACGGAGCAACGCCGCGUGAGUGAUGAAGGUUUUCGGAUCGUAAAGCUCUGUUGUUAGGGAAGAACAAGUGCAAGAGUAACUGCUUGCACCUUGACGGUACCUAACCAGAAAGCCACGGCUAACUACGUGCCAGCAGCCGCGGUAAUACGUAGGUGGCAAGCGUUGUCCGGAAUUAUUGGGCGUAAAGGGCUCGCAGGCGGUUUCUUAAGUCUGAUGUGAAAGCCCCCGGCUCAACCGGGGAGGGUCAUUGGAAACUGGGAAACUUGAGUGCAGAAGAGGAGAGUGGAAUUCCACGUGUAGCGGUGAAAUGCGUAGAGAUGUGGAGGAACACCAGUGGCGAAGGCGACUCUCUGGUCUGUAACUGACGCUGAGGAGCGAAAGCGUGGGGAGCGAACAGGAUUAGAUACCCUGGUAGUCCACGCCGUAAACGAUGAGUGCUAAGUGUUAGGGGGUUUCCGCCCCUUAGUGCUGCAGCUAACGCAUUAAGCACUCCGCCUGGGGGAGUACGGUCGCAAGACUGAAACUCAAAAGGAAUUGACGGGGGGCCCGCACAAACGGGUGGAACAUGGGGGUUUAAUUCCAAACCAACGCCGAAGAACCCUUACCAAGGUCUUUGACAUCCUUCUGAACACCCCCUAGAGAAUAGAGNCAUUUCCCCUUUCUGCGGACAGAAGUGAACAGUCGGG
rnacentral:rRNA from 2 species